AUCAAUUAAUACCAUUUGUUCUAAAACAGGUCGGGGGAAGGCAUUGGAUGCAGCAUCCAAAGAGUGUGACCAACUACAGUUGUGGAGGCCAGCUAUAGUGAAUCACCUCUAUUGGACUGCAGCCUCAACCCCAGAUGGCAACCCAGCGGUCAUGGAGGCCAAAUGGAGAAGUUUAGUGAACCACAUCCAGGACAUCCAUGACCAUGACACCCCUGCCUUCUCCAGUUGUGCCCAUGGCCCUCUAGACGAAGAUCAGCGCAACAAAGAGUGGCUGGACCCAGGCUCAUUGGCAGCAGUCAAGUUGGAGAACAUAAUGAUGAGGCUGCCUUGCUGAAAGAUGUUCGUCAGCUGUCUCCACAGCACCAGACCUUCUCCCUUGAGGCUUACCACUCCCUCAUCUUGCACUUCGCGCCCAAGCACACAGGGUUUUCAUACCUUGGGAUGUAUAGCAGGUCAGUGCUAUCCAAUGGAAUAACACUGCCAAUUAUUAUGCCUUUUAUAGUAAUAAUAGUACCUAUUAACGUGCCUAUUGUAGUAUUUUGUCAUACACCAAGUUUCAAAGGUUUUCUCAAAUGUGUUAUUUUGUAGGCUUCUCUUAGCGGCGCUGCAUUAUAAUCACAAUGCCAAUCGCGAGACAGCACGGAGAAGUGACGGGACAGAGAAGUACUGCGUGUGAAAAGGUUGCCCUCCUUUUCCCGAACAUGAGCACCUGGAAGUUAAUCAUAGCCUGAUUGGGGAUGCAGGAACAUGACUGGUUGUAAAGGGGGGGACGUUAUUUUUCUAUGUUUAAUUAUCAUGAUAUUUUUCAUUUGUGCAACAGUGAACUUUAUGAUCAAGAUGCAAACUGUUGAGAUAUGCAAUGAAGUGUCUGGUUGAUUAUGAUUUCGUUAUAAAAUAUAAAUGUAAUGUGGUACUUGGGUCGGUGAACCCCCAUGGCAGUUGGUAUCUACCAUUUUGUGUAAUUGGUUGGCUUUAUUUAAGCCCGGUAUUUUCUGCUUUCAAGGGGGUGGAGGCAUAGAGAGACGGCUUGCCGUGAGGCUGGUACACGUUCAGAUUAAGGGAACUUUUCUUGUUUGUUUUGUUUAUCAAAGUAUUUCGUUUUGUGGCCAUUUCACUUUUCAAGCAUGGGAAAUAAAUCAGUUUUUUUCAACUAAUUUAUGCUGCUUGCUGAAUUUUUGCGGCCUACUCAAAGACCUUCAUUGCGUCCUAAACCGCUACGUUCCGAAUUGGAAGUGAGUCGGGAGGCUCAUUUUCACAUGUGGUGGCAGUGGUGGGAUCGUGGCGCCCCCUGGAGCAGUGAAGAGGAAGCCGACGAGAC
rnacentral:lncRNA from 1 species